GUGUCAGCCGCCGCGGUAAUACAGAGGUCCCAAGCGUUGUUCGGAUUCACUGGGCGUAAAGGGUGCGUAGGUGGCCGGGUCAGUUCGAUGUGAAAUCCCCGAGCUCAACUCGGGAAUGGCAUUGAAUACUAUCCGGCUAGAGGAUCGGAGGGGAGACUGGAAUUCUCGGUGUAGCAGUGAAAUGCGUAGAUAUCGAGAGGAACACCAGUGGCGAAGGCGAGUCUCUGGACGAUUCCUGACGCUGAGGCACGAAAGCUAGGGGAGCAAACAGGAUUAGAAACCCCCGUAGUCC
rnacentral:rRNA from 1 species